rnacentral:rRNA from 1 species
GAUGAACGCUGGCGGCGUGCCUAAUACAUGCAAGUCGAGCGAACAGACGAGGAGCUUGCUCCUCUGACGUUAGCGGCGGACGGGUGAGUAACACGUGGAUAACCUACCUAUAAGACUGGGAUAACUUCGGGAAACCGGAGCUAAUACCGGAUAAUAUAUUGAACCGCAUGGUUCAAUAGUGAAAGACGGUUUUGCUGUCACUUAUAGAUGGAUCCGCGCCGCAUUAGCUAGUUGGUAAGGUAACGGCUUACCAAGGCUACGAUGCGUAGCCGACCGGAGAGGGUGAUCGGCCACACUGGAACUGAGACACGGUCCAGACUCCUACGGGAGGCAGCAGUAGGGAAUCUUCCGCAAUGGGCGAAAGCCUGACGGAGCAACGCCGCGUGAGUUAUGAAGGUCUUCGGAUCGUAAAACUCUGUUUUUAGGGAAGAACAAAUGUGUAAGUAACUAUGCACGUCUUGACGGUACCUAAUCAGAAAGCCACGGCUAACUACGUG